GAUGAACGCUGGCGGCGUGCCUAAUACAUGCCAGUCGAGCGAACGGACGAGAAGCUUGCUUCUCUGAUGUUAGCGGCGGACGGGUGAGUAACACGUGGAUAACCUACCUAUAAGACUGGGAUAACUUCGGGAAACCGGAGCUAAUACCGGAUGAUAUUUUGAACCGAAUGGUUCAAAAGUGAAAGACGGUCUUGCUGUCACUUAUAGAUGGAUCCGCGCUGCAUUAGCUAGUUGGUAAGGUAACGGCUUACCAAGGCAACGAUGCAUAGCCGACCUGAGAGGGUGAUCGGCCACACUGGAACUGAGACACGGUCCAGACUCCUACGGGAGGCAGCAGUAGGGAAUCUUCCGCAAUGGGCGAAAGCCUGACGGAGCAACGCCGCGUGAGUGAUGAAGGUCUUCGGAUCGUAAAACUCUGUUAUUAGGGAAGAACAUAUGUGUAAGUAACUGUGCACAUCUUGACGGUACCUAAUCAGAAAGCCACGGCUAACUACGUG
rnacentral:rRNA from 1 species